rfam:Eutrema salsugineum unplaced genomic scaffold scaffold_12, whole genome shotgun sequence.
AAUCUAUGGUGAGGGCACUAGUUUGUAUAGCUUCUGAAUCUCUCACAAGUCUCCCUAAAGGUCUCAUUUUGGUGUUGGGUGAAUGAGGAGAUCUGGUUCCUUAACUU